AAGACGUGGUAAAUAGUAUCAGUGCCUCGUCUCUAAAUAAACCUCGUGAAUUGCUGGAAACUCUUUAAUGACAUGUUGGCUACAACGUAACUGGAAACGGUAAGCGUGAAUGUUUAAAAACAACAUGUGGAUAAAGACAAUCAGCAGCCAAGCUCCGUAUGGGAGAAGGUUCAACGACCAUCGAAAACACGUCUUUUAGACGGAAGUGAGUAGAGUAGAAAUCAAGUGAUUUCGAAGUGCGAGGACACUUAAUAAGUGUAAGAUAUGGUCUGAACUCUAGGGUAACUUAGAG
rnacentral:ncRNA from 1 species